AAACCAGCACCUCAAGUGGUCAGGAUGAUUAUUGGGCCUAAAGCAUCCGUAGCCGGCUCUGUAAGUUUUCGGUUAAAUCUGUACGCUCAACGUACAGGCUGCCGGGAAUACUGCAGAGCUAGGGAGUGGGAGAGGUAGACGGUACUCGGGAGGAAGUGGUAAAAUGCUUUGAUCUCUCGAUGACCACCUGUGGCGAAGGCGGUCUACCAGAACACGUCCGACGGUGAGGGAUGAAAGCUGGGGGAGCAAACCGGAUUAGAUACCCUUGUAGUCC
rnacentral:rRNA from 1 species